rnacentral:lncRNA from 1 species
CGACACACAGCACGCGGGCCAGCGCAUCAACAACUUCCUCCAUCGGCUACAAACACCGUCCUUACCUCACCUCACGGUCCUGUAAGGUCACACACACUCCGAGAGAAGCAGUGAGUGUUUAAUAUUGACCUUAAACAGGUGUCAGCCUCGGUCAAGCCUCAUAUGCGGCUUUUAUUCCUACGCCUGACACGGAAAACUGUGCGUGUGACUCCGCCGCAUCCUCCAGCUGCCACAAUGGUUACAUGUCCUGUUUAAUGGUCGAGAGGUGUGGAGUUAAAAGGUCGGAGCAGAAUGCCAUACAAGUUCGCACGCUGGCUGAUGGCAGACUGAACACUGGUCAUGCUGGAGUGUUGCUGGCUGGGAGACGAGGCUCCUACCCGCUGAUUGACCUGCACAUCCUAAG